AGGGAAGCAACUGAUCAGAGAAGCAGAAGGUUAUAAAGAGAUGAACUCAUUUGUUUCCUGAGAAGUUUACACCACAAAGGAAAAAGCGAUAUACUACAGCCACGGAAUUUACUGGUCUCUUGUACUGAAAAGCUGCUAACAAUUGCCUCACAGUGAGAAUCUGAGAGGCAAAACGCAACAUGUGUAACUCCUGAUUUCUUCACUAUGGAACUAAAGAGACCACUAGCAAAUUAACGGAAGUACGCUAGAACCUGCAAACCUUUUCAGAAGU